rfam:Schistosoma mattheei strain Denwood, Zambia genome assembly, scaffold: SMTD_contig0000398
AUCCAGCUGACGAGUCCCAAAUAGGACGAAACGUGCUUCCUGGAU